CAGCAGCCGCGGUAAUACGUAGGGUGCAAGCGUUAAUCGGAAUUACUGGGCGUAAAGGGCGCGUAGGUGGUUAUGUAAGUGAGAUGUGAAAUCCCCGGGCUCAACCUGGGAACUGCAUCUUAUACUGCGUAGCUGGAGUGCAGUAGAGGGUAGUGGAAUUUCCGGUGUAGCGGUGAAAUGCGUAGAUAUUCGGAAGAACACCAGUGGCGAAGGCGACACACUGGCUCAUUACUGGCGCUGAGGCGCGAAAGCGUGGGGAGCAAACAGGAUUAGAGACCCCGGUAGUCCCUGUCUCUUAUAC
rnacentral:rRNA from 1 species